UGAAUUUUGGCACAAUUUUUGUUUGUGGGGUUUAUCUAAAUUUUGGUUAGUUGAAACUUGAAGAUUUCUUUGUUGUAUCUUGUGGAAAUUGUUUAAUCUUUUUGCUUGCUGGAUUUGUACCUACUGAAGAUAUUUUUAUUGGUAAUAUAUAACAUAAAAGGGAAAUUUGCAGAUUGCUGUUGUUGAUUUUUCUCUCUACUGUGACACAUCUUAAGAUCUUCUCUUUCUGAGUUCAACUUGACAGCAGAGAGCAGUAUCUCCCAAAUACGACAUUCAGUUACAGGGAUCCCAUACCAGUUUCUGGUUGAAUUGAGGAGCAGUUUUUGUAAGGGAUUAUUCAAGCAGCUUCAUUUUGAGAUUUACAACAACAAGUGAACCAUGUCUUUAGUUAGAUCUCUAAGAUCAAUUGGAAAUGGGAAGCUGUAUUUUCAAAAUGGUCACAAUGAUAACUCUAGUUUGGCUACAUCCAUGUACACCAAAAAUGCACGCGGGAUUAUGUAUGCAACCGAGUCUAGCAGCACAGACAGUUAUGAUCCAAAGUAUUUGCUAGAAUCACCUUCACCUUCUGAAGAACUUUUAAACACAUCACCUACAGAUGUCUUGGGGAAUCCAUUCCACCAGAGACAUUCAUCUUCUUUCCAUCCAUCAAGAGAUUACAAUCAGGUUAGUUAUGAUUCAGCAGACUGUGUCAAUCAAAGUCCAGAUUCAUCAGAAUAUAAUGAUGGAAGGGUGACAAUGAAGCUUCAAGAACUUGAAAGGGUACUUUUCGAUGAUAACGAAAUUGAAGGAGAUGAUGUAUUUGCUCGUGGCGAGACUAUGGACAUAGAUGAUGAAUGGUUUAACCAGAUCCGAACAGAGUUACUUCAGGAGUCUCCGAAGGAGUCCACAUCGGCAGAUUCUAAUACCAGUAGCAGUAGUAGCUACAAGGAAAUAUCUGUAUCUGCUCCUCAAACUCCAAAGCAAAUGCUGUUUAGUUGUGCUGCUGCUAUUCAAGAUGGACACAUUGAACAAGCGUCAUCUAUGAUUAAUGAACUGAGGCAGAUGGUCUCCAUCCAGGGAGAUCCUCUUGAAAGGACUGCAGCUUACAUGGUAGAAGCUCUUGCAGCUCGAAUGGCUACAUCUGGCAGAGGUCUUUAUAAAGCUCUAAAAUGCAAAGAAGCCACCUCUUCUGAGAGACUCUCUGCUAUGCAAGUCCUCUUUGAAGUAUGUCCAUACUUCAGGUUUGGUUUUAUGGCAGCAAAUGGUGCGAUCCUAGAGGCUUUUAAAGAUGAGAAAAGAGUUCACAUCAUAGAUUUUGACGUUAACCAAGGAAGUCAAUAUUACACUUUAUUGCAGACAUUGGGUAGUAUGCCUGGUAAGCCACCCCAUGUGAGGCUAACUGGGGUAGACGACCCUGAAUCUGUCCAACGUGCUAUUGGAGGCCUUAAUGUCAUUGGUCUGAGGCUUGCACAGCUGGCCAAAGAUCUUAAGAUCUCUUUUGAGUUCCAAGCAGUCUCUUCCAACACUGCAUUAGUCACCCCAGCAAUGUUAAACUGCCGUCCUGGUGAAGCUGUUCUAGUAAACUUUGCGUUCCAGCUUCAUCACAUGCCUGAUGAAAGUGUA
rnacentral:misc_RNA from 1 species